UACGUAGGGUGCGAGCGUUAAUCGGAAUUACUGGGCGUAAAGCGUGCGCAGGCGGUUCGUUAUGUCCGUUGUGAAAGCCCCGGGCUCAACCUGGGAAUGGCAAUGGAAACUGGCGGGCUAGAGUGUGGCAGAGGGGGGUGGAAUUCCGCGUGUAGCAGUGAAAUGCGUAGAGAUGCGGAGGAACACCGAUGGCGAAGGCAGCCCCCUGGGAUAACACUGACGCUCAUGCACGAAAGCGUGGGGAGCAAACAGG
rnacentral:rRNA from 1 species